CUCGCUCCCGAAAUAGGAAGCCGGGGCUUGCACUCCCGCAAAGGGCUGGGGCCCAUCCCCCACAGCCCUCCCGUCGCCUACGUCAGCGGCGCCCGCGGUCCUGUUGGUGCCAUCUAACCCAUCCCUGGCCUGGCUGCGGGGCGCUUCCCGCAACCCAAGUAGAGCAUCCCCCGGCCAUACUGAAAGGAAACUCGCCCUUGAGCUGGUGCCACGCUGGAGAAACGCCGCUUGAUCCUUCUGCCGCCUUGUUUUUUAAUUCGCUGUGGUUUUAUUCUUAUAUUGUGUAUGCUCGUGUAGGCGUACUUAUGGGGAAGGGGUGGGAGACUGGGGCGUUCGUUGUAACUCGCGGGAGUCCCUUCUCUGCUUCCACCGUGUGGGUCCCACGUAUCAAACUGGGGUUGUCAAGGCUUGACAGCAAGGGCCUUUACCCAAAAACCCAUCUCAACGGUCCUAUGUCCUCUUCUUGUAGAAGAGGCUCAGAGGCUCGGAGAGGAAUGACGCGGUCGCCGUAAGUAAAAAAGAAUUGGAGCCUGGACAGAGAGCAUGGUCUAGUGGCCUUUGAGCCCUCUUGCUCCUACCAGACAAGUGGAAAAGAGUUGCCUUGGACACCGCGGAUGGCUGAGCUGCCCAGCGCCUCACCUGCUGGCGGAGAACGUGACCUUGCUUCCCUCAUGCUAGCCCCACACGUGCUAGCCCCUCCCUGCGGAAUGUCUCCCGCCUGCGCCUUUCUCCGCAGUCCCACCCGUCGCCGCUGCCUGAAAGCGCUUCAGGCUUUAUUUACUGACCUCUGAGCUUGUGCCAGGGUCGUUCUUCACUCCGCGAAGACAAUUUGUCUAUUCAGAGGGUUCUUCCGGCCUCGGCCACCUUAACUCCCGGAAAGCCGCGACCCUCUGCUGAAGUCAGUUUUUUCCCCUGACUUCUGCCACUAGACUGCUUGUCACCUUAAAGUACGUUAUUAAAUAAGACCCGACUAUUGAUGGUUGUAGCCUACUUCAGGGCAUGGUCACACUCAACUUUUUCGUUGGUAGGUGGUAUCAUCCCCUUUUUACAGGUGAGUAAGGGAACCUCAGUGGAGCCUAUUCCUUAGUUCAGCAGUUUCUGUUUAAUUAUUACCAAGUCAGCAUCUCAAUGUGUAGCAGGGGUUGACCUUGAACUAAAGAUUCUCCUGCCUCUGUCUCCUGGGUUACAGCUGUGUGCCGCUGCUCUGGCUUGAGCCAACAGUUAAUACGGCACCUGCACCUGGAGGCAAGAGAUUCCUGAGUUGGGGGCCAGUCUGAGCCAAGGCAAGAUACUCUCUCAAAGUAAGCUCCUGGUUUGUGCGGGCCCUGCUUUGGAGAAGUCCACAUGGAUCAAGGUACAGGCUAAAGUACUCCCUCUGGGAGUGACUCUAGGAGGGACCUGUCCUGACUUGGGGAUUCAGAGGAAGAGGGACAUAAAUGAAUUUCUGAGCUCUCUACACGGGACGGAGUGGUAAGCACAGAACUUUGGCCUCUAGAAGGUUGUGCAGGGUAGUCAUUCCGGAACGGUUACCAGAGCUCUGGAGCCUGACCAGUAUACCUGCAGUGUGGUGAGGCCUCCUUCCUGGGCCUCUGUCCCCGUGGAAGUUCCUUUCUCCCACCCAUGGGCUGUUCUGGGAAGGAGGCCAGUGAGGAAAAGUCCUCUCACCCCUGUCUUGAUUCCUUUGGAGAGUCUAGUUGCCAAAAGGCUGAGAGGUCCAAUUCUGCCAAAGCUACAGGGACGGGCCUCAGGGCUGGGCCUGGAGCCCUGGUGACCUCAGCGAUAGAGCAGGUGCCAAGGGAGGGAGGGCAUGGGAUGGUUUCUGAUUCAAGGUCACAGGCUUUAGGCAAGGAGCCUCUUCUCUCAAAGCCUGAGAGGCCUGAGACCCAGGGACCAGAGCAGUCUGCUUACAUGGAGUGUGGAAUGUAGUGCUGGAGAUCUGGGGCUGGCGGACAGCUGCUGGCAAAAAGAUCUGUGUUCUAGACCCGAUCACAGCUAUACUAGCCAUGCCAUGUGGUCUUGAGCAGUUCACUUAAGUCACUUGGAAUCAGUUUCAUCUUUGAAAUGGGAGAUAUUUGGAAAUCAUUAGAGAAAAUACAUUAAAAACUCUGGUUUUGUUUU
rnacentral:lncRNA from 1 species